rnacentral:rRNA from 1 species
AGUUGUCCGGAAUUAUUGGGCGUAAAGAGCUCGUAGGCGGCUUGUCACGUCGGUUGUGAAAGCCCGGGGCUUAACCCCGGGUCUGCAGUCGAUACGGGCAGGCUAGAGUUCGGUAGGGGAGAUCGGAAUUCCUGGUGUAGCGGUGAAAUGCGCAGAUAUCAGGAGGAACACCGGUGGCGAAGGCGGAUCUCUGGGCCGAUACUGACGCUGAGGAGCGAAAGCGUGGGGAGCGAACAGGAUUAGAUACCCUGGUAGUCCACGCCGUAAACGGUGGGCACUAGGUGUGGGCAACAUUCCACGUUGUCCGUGCCGCAGCUAACGCA